rnacentral:rRNA from 1 species
CGAUUGAACGCUGGCGGCAUGCUUUACACAUGCAAGUCGAACGGCAGCGGGGGCUUCGGCCUGCCGGCGAGUGGCGAACGGGUGAGUAAUGCAUCGGAACGUGCCCAUGUCGUGGGGGAUAACGUAGCGAAAGCUACGCUAAUACCGCAUACGCCCUGAGGGGGAAAGCGGGGGAUUCUUCGGAACCUCGCGCGAUUGGAGCGGCCGAUGUCGGAUUAGCUAGUAGGUGAGGUAAAGGCUCACCUAGGCGACGAUCCGUAGCGGGUCUGAGAGGAUGAUCCGCCACACUGGGACUGAGACACGGCCCAGACUCCUACGGGAGGCAGCAGUGGGGAAUUUUGGACAAUGGGCGCAAGCCUGAUCCAGCCAUGCCGCGUGAGUGAAGAAGGCCUUCGGGUUGUAAAGCUCUUUCGGCCGGGAAGAAAUCGUGGUCUCUAACAUAGGCCAUGGAUGACGGUACCGGACUAAGAAGCACCGGCUAACUACGUG